AUUGAACGCUGGCGGAAUGCUUUACACAUGCAAGUCGAACGGCAGCACGGGUGCUUGCACCUGGUGGCGAGUGGCGAACGGGUGAGUAAUACAUCGGAACGUACCCAGUCGUGGGGGAUAACGUAGCGAAAGUUACGCUAAUACCGCAUACGUCCUGAGGGAGAAAGCGGGGGACCGUAAGGCCUCGCGCGAUUGGAGCGGCCGAUGGCGGAUUAGCUAGUUGGUGGGGUAAAGGCCUACCAAGGCGACGAUCCGUAGCGGGUCUGAGAGGACGGCCCGCCACACUGGAACUGAGACACGGUCCAGACUCCUACGGGAGGCAGCAGUGGGGAAUUUUGGACAAUGGGCGAAAGCCUGAUCCAGCCAUUCCGCGUGAGUGAAGGAGGCCUUCGGGUUGUAAAGCUCUUUCGGCAGGGAAGAAACGGCUUGGGAUAAUACCCCGGGCUAAUGACGGUACCUGAAGAAGAAGCACCGGCUAACUACGUACCAGCCGCCGCAGUAA
rnacentral:rRNA from 1 species